rnacentral:sRNA from 1 species
GAGUGCAGUGGUGCCAUCUUGGCUCACUGCAACCUCUGCCUCCCAGGUUCAAGCAAUUCUCAUGCCUCAGCCUCCCGAGUAGCUGGGAUUAUAGGUGUGUGCCAAAACAUCUGGCUAAUUUUUUGUGUUUUUUUUUUUUUUGGUAGAGACGGGGUUUCGCCAUGUUGGCCAGGCUGGUCUUGAACUCCUGGCCUCAAGUGAUCUGCCUGCCUCGGCCUCCAAAAGUGUUGGGAUUCCAGGCGUGAGCCACCACGCCUGGCCUGUCAUCCCUUCAAAUGUUUCAGAACUGAGGCAUGCAGAGGCCGGAAGACAGGCUGGGCUCACCCGGUUGGUUAUCUCUGAGAGAGGACAUGGGUGAGGUCAGAGGCCUCUCCCUGGAAAAGGAGGUAGGUGGAGAAGCCAGGUGGCAUCCAGAUAAGGAAGACCAGCAUCUCCUUGAGAGUGUACACAGGAGCACGGGAUGGGGAGGGAGGCUGAGUGCUCCUUACAGGCCCACCCUUUUCCCUCCAGGUGUUAGCUGCUGUUGUCCUGGGUCUUCAGUGUUGACCAUCGCAUGGCAUUUGGGCAGCUGGUUCUGCUGGGUUACGGUCCUCAUGUCCCUGGCACAGACACAGCCAUUGCCUGCUGGCACUUGAUACCUACUCACAUUCCAUUUCUCUAUUCCAAACACACUGGAUUGCAUGGCCCCGGGCGCUGCGGUGUGCACCAUUGUCUGGCCCACACUCACCUAGAAUACAUAUCAGGAUCUCCUACCCACUCCUUGGGUACAAGAAGAAGAAGGGGUUCUGGCCGGGCGUGGUGGUUCACGCCUGUAAUCCCAGCACUUUUGAGAGGCCGAGGUGGGCGGAUCACAAGGUCAGGAGAUUGAGACCAUCCUGGCUAACAUGGUGAAACCCCGUCUCUACUAAAAAACACACACAAAAAAAUUAGCUGGGCGUGGUGGCGGGCACCUGUAGUCCCAGCUACUCGGGAGGCUGAGGCAGGAGAAUGGCGAGAACCUGGGAGGCGGAGCUUGCAGUGAGCUGAGAUCGCACCACUGCACUCCAGCCUGGGCGACAGAGCAAGACUCCGUAAUCUGCCUCCAGCUCAGUUAUAAGGUGGCUUAUCUAAAGGCUUGGGAGGUGGGGCACCCAGCCCUACCCACCCGUCCAGGAAGUUCCGCACCUGGACAACUUUCAAUUUCAUUAUUUUAGCUUCCUGAGAUUCAGAGACCAGGAACUGUGCAGAGAUCUGUGGGGAUUCUCACAACUUCCAUUUCUGGUGAACAGCUGAGGUCAGAGAGGAGGUGGGUACCACUUGAGAUGAGCCUGUGGUUCCUGGGCACUGUCUUUCCAGAUACCUAGAAUUCCCAGGUUGGUAGUGAAUUGGGAGUCAACCACCACGAUGGGGGCAGAGACAGCGAGGAAGCAGUGAGUGGAUAAGUGCCUGUGCCGGGCAGAAGGGAUACAGGGGAAGGUGGCCAAAGGUAGGAUGGGGAAGUGGAUCCCAGGAAGCUUUUGUUUCUUCUGAGGCCAAUUUACCACCACCUCAUUGGGAAAUUGUUGGUAGGGAGGCACCCAUCCAAUUGCCUUGCAGAAUACAGUAAAGCAGGGAGCCCAAGAAUCAGAACCAAGGGAAGAAACGACGAGUUGAGGUUAGUAAUGUGAAGUUUGGCAACCGUGCCCGUCAUCCCUCCCUGGUUCCUCUGUUCAUCAACAUUGGGGCUAGUCCGGCUGGGGCAUGGUGGGCCUGCCUUUCCAUCCCUCAGGCCCCUUGGAACAAGGGGGCAACUCUGCUGUGGGAGAUGUAGAAAAUGGGUCUCACUUUCUCUAUUUGGGGCAAUAGCUGCUACUUUUUUCCUCCAGAUGGGUACCAUGAGGGGCAGAGGAGAAUCUGGGAUCUGUGAUGUUUAGCCCUCUUUACUGAGUCAUGGCUGCCUCACAUUCUAGCAGUAAGGCAGGCAAAUCAUUCCGGGUACUGGUUGUCCUGGAACCUUUGGCUCUUCCUUGACCUCAUGUCACGUGCAUCCAUGUGAAGAGAGUCCACGAAAUGGGCUUUAUGUGAGCAACAAGGCUGGGUGCAGGCAGGCUGAGUCCAAAAAAGGAGUCAGCAAAGGGUGGUGGGAUUAUCAUUAGUUCUUAUAGGUUUGGGAUAGGCUUACAAAGUACAUUCUCAAGGGUGGAGAAAUAUUACAAAGUACCUUCUUAAGGGCAGGGAGAGACUAUAUCGUAUCAGUUAGGGUGGGGCAGGAACAAAUCACAAUGGUGGAAGUUGUGUUAAGGCUCAUCAGUUAAGGCUAUUUUCACUUCUUUUGUGGAUCUUCAGUUGCUUCAGGCCAUCUGGAUGUAUACAUGCAGGUCACAGGGAAUAUGAUGGCUUAGCUUGGGCUCAGAGGCCUGACACCUCAGGCUGCCAAAUGUGGAAGAUUUAAAUACUUGAACCAAUACCCUCCUCCCAAAAACUGAAAUUGGCUUCUGUUUCUGAGUUGGUCCAGGCACAAUGUUCAGUGUAUUUGAGGAAAUCACAAGAAUUGUAGUUAAGGAGAUGGAUUCUGGAGGGGAUAUGAUUGCCGUUAGAAGCCUCGUUGAUGCUGAUAGAUUCCGCUGCUUCCAUCUGGUGGGGGAGAAGAGAACUUUCUUUGGAUGCCGGCACUACACAACAGGCCUCACCCUGAUGGACAUUCUGGACACAGAUGGGGACAAGUGGUUCGAUGAACUGGAUUCUGGGCUCCAAGGUCAAAACGCUGAGUUUCAAAUUCUGGAUAAUGUAGACUCAAAGGGAGAGUUGAUAGUGACAUUACUCAAAGAAAUAACAAUUUCAGGCAGCUUCCAGGGCUUCCACCAUCAGAAUAUCAAGAUAUCUGAGAACCGGAUAUCCCAGCAGUAUCUGGCUACCCUUGAAAACAGGAAGCUGAAGAGGGAACUACCCUUUUCAUUCCGAUCAAUUAAUACGAGAGAAAACCUGUAUCUGGUGACAGAAACUCUGGAGACGGUAAAGGAGGAAACCCUGAAAAGCAACCGGCAAUAUAAAUUUUGGAGCCAGAUCUCUCAGGGCCGUCUCAGCUAUAAACACAAGGGCCAUAGGGAAGUGACCAUCCCCGCAAAUCGGGUCCUGAGCUAUCGAGUAAAGCAGCUUGUCUUCCCCAACAAGGAGAUGAUGAAGAAGGAUGGUGCUUCAUCCUGUUUAGGUAAGGGUGAUAGCCAAGUGUGUUCAGGGUGGCUGCACCAACCCACCCUGAGUCCAUGUGGCUCAAGACUGCUGCUCAGGUGGGGUCAGCUGAGUGGGUAGGAAGGGGGGCGGGGGCACUGCCUAGCAGGUCUCAACUUUAGUCUGGAGGCUGCAUCUGUCUCCUCUAAACACAGUGGUUCUCAUUGGUUAUACCCCAAAAUCACACCAGGAAACUUUAAAACUAGUGACGACUGAGUCCCGUCUCCAGAAGCUCUGACUUAAUUGUGGGGGUGUGGCCUGGACAUCAGGAUUUGUAAUAACUCUUCAGGUGAUUCUCAUGUAGUCAAGGUUGAGAACCACUGCUUUAACUUUCUCCAAAUCCUAAUUACUUCUAGUGUGGCCCGAGGACUGCACUUUGAAUGGCAAGGGCCAAAUAACCAAGUUUUUGUUUUUUUCCGGGAGGUGGAGAAGAAUUUGGGGUUGGGACUAGACUGGGGGUGAGCUGGGGAGAUGGAAGAUGGAAGUGGGGUCAGUGGGAGGCAAUGAUGGUAGGUAUCUUGGAAGAAGUAUGUUUAAUUUUAACACGGAAAGACUGGAAGAAGGGAAGAUACAAAGAGAUGGUCUCCAGAAGACAGUCAGACAAAUAACAGAGCCUUAGAAAUAAAGCCUUUUGGGCUGGGUGGCCCAGGUUCUCAAUUGCUGCCUCUACAGGAAAGUCUUUGGGUUCGGAGGAUUCCAGAAACAUGAAGGAGAAGUUGGAGGACAUGGAGAGUGUCCUCCAGGACCUGACGGAGGAGAAGAGAAAAGAUGUGCUAAACUCCCUCGCUAAGUGCCUCGGCAAGGAGGAGACUCGGCAGGAUCUAGAGCAAAGAGUAUCUGAGGUCCUGAUUUCCGGGGAGCUGCACAUGGAGGACCCAGACAAGACUCUCCUAAGCAGCCUUUUUAAUGCUGCUGGGGUCUUGGUAGAAGUGCGUGCAAAAGCCAUUCUGGACUUCCUGGAUGCCCUGCUAGAGCUGUCUGAAGAGCAGCAGCUUGUGGCUGAGGCCCUGGAGAAGGGGACCCUUCCUCUGUUGAAGGACCAGGUGAAAUCUAUCAUGGAGCAGAACUGGGAUGAGCUGCUGGCCAGCAGUCCUCAUGACAAGGACUAUGACCCUGAGGCACGAAUUCUCUGUGCGCUGUAUGUUGUUGUCUCUAUCCUGCUGGAGCUGGCUGAGGGGCCUACCUCUGUCUCUUCCUAACUACAAAAGCCCUUUCUCCCCAUAAGCCUCUGGGUUCUCCCUUCACCAGUCUGUCCUCACUGCCAUCGCCACUACCAUCCUGUCACCAGCGGGACCUCUUUAAGACAAGCAGCCAACCAUUCUUUGAUGUAUCCCAUUCCCUCCAUGUUAACAUCCAAAACCAGCCUGGAUUUCAUGCAUGGACUUCUGAUUAAAAGUGGCAGGUUGUGCACGUUA